rnacentral:tRNA from 1 species
ACGGUAGUAAUGCAGUGGUAGCAUGCGACCCUCCCAAGGUCGAAGCCCGGGUUCAAAUCCCGGCUACCGUA